rnacentral:tRNA from 1 species
CAGAAGAUAGUUUAGUUGAGAAUGCCAGCUUUGGGGGCUGGAGGUAGAGAUAGGUCUCUUCUUCUGA